CUCCUCCAGGGCACAAUUUCAGCCUCGCAGCCCUGUUCAGGAAAGUUUUGUGCGAUGGAGAUCUGCACCUAUGACUGCCCUUCACACCUGGAUCUGUUAUGCUGUCUCUGCUCAUUUGCUGCCUCUGGCCAGCUGGAGAGAAGAGUUGUGGUAAAGCCUUUCUGAAGGUCAACUGAACAAUCAAAGCUGAAAUCCAGCCAGACCACRAGGUGAUUCAAUGUCAGCUUUGGACAGAAGUCUCAGGACUCUGACACAAUUCAGAGCUGUUAAUGUAACUUAAGCUACAGCAUUCCCAAGCCAUGAGUUCUUAAUUUUAUGCCUUAAAAUAUCAUUAUUUCUCYGAUUACAUUAUUUCUCUGAUUCUGUAAAAUACAAAGGGUCCUAGUGAAAUCAGUCUGCAAGUUACAAGGUACCAGAAGGUYUGACAUUUAGUGGCAAGAAACUAUACCAAUAGUUUAUCUCUGCAAAACAAGAGCUGUUCAGGAACUCAUCUCCUCUGAGAUAUAUAUCACUUUGUCAUCAGUGAGAAAGGCAAGAAGUAUAGUUUAAUGAGCUCUUAAAGCAAGAGAAAUAAUGUCAAUUAAACAAUGAGAAACAGCGGGGGAAUCGCUGUUAGUAACAAACUUGCUAGAUAGGCUCCCACUCAAUGAAGAUAUCAGCUAUGUCACAUAAAUCAUGAGUUCCAAAACUGCCUUCUCAAUGUGCUUGCCUGAUUUAACAAAAAUAUGCCGUCUUCUGUGAUGGAUGGCGUUAACACUGAAGUAGCCUGCAAGAGCCACAGAAGAGACCAUGUAAUGCAGAAGACUCAGAAUCACCACUAACAGAUUUGCUGAAGGGUGUGUAAUGGUUGAUCUAGUAUUCAAAAGACAUUUUUUACUCCCAAAGGCACACAUAAGGAAAGACUGCAUCAUUACUGGUGGCAAAAACAAGACAGAAGCACAUCUGCAUCAAUUCACGAUUCAGGUCAACCGUUCAACAUGUGAACGCAUACUGAAUAGCAGAUGUUAGCAGCAGCUAUAAUCUUGCCUAUGACACAUAAACAAAUCUAAAAACCUGAAAAUGUCCAAUUUACUGUUUCUGAAAUUUUCUAUAGAAGAGGGUAAGAUGCUUACAGCUGACUGAGGGCUGAAAACUAAAGCAAAUGAGCACUGCAGUCAGAUUCACAGCAAGCUAAACAAUGUCUAUAUCUGAACUUGAUGAAGCAUGUGAACCAGACAAGCUGGCAUCAACACCUGCCCAAAGGUACACCCAAUYAAAAAGAAAGGCUGUGGUCAAGGAUCCAAAAAGUGACAAAAUGGCAAAAAGCAAUCAAACUGCAUGCUGAAAAUCCUUGAUAUCUCCCUGAAGAUAUGAAGGAGAUGUCCAAAAUGUCUUGUGGAAUUGGGCUUCUUCUCUACCAGAUGCUCUGAAGACCUUUGUAGCAGUUUUAGCUACAGCAGCUGGAAAGCUUUUCCAUAGUGUGAAUGUAUGAAGAAUGAAACAGGCAGUGUGUGUGAUGCCUAAAUAUGAUCAUUCUGGACUCACAGCCCAGAGACCUCAUCUGCACAUUAAAUCUCUUUACAGCAGGUUUCAUGGAGUGGCAGGACCACAUUUGUUUCAAUUUUAUUGAUUUUUUUUUUCUAAAGAUGUUUGAUAGUCUGCAUGCACGUGUGCUGUGACCAUUUCUCAGCCAUGUGCAAAUCCACCUAAAGCUGUCCAUAUCAUGAAGGGCAAGUMGAUCUGAAUAGUGGGUUGCAACAAGGACAGCAGCUAGGCAGAGGUUCAGGGAAGACCUUCAUUCCCUCUGCUGCUGCUCAUCACUCUCAUACUUGCAAUAUAAAUGCCUAGACAAUGUAAACCUGGGCAGGCAACCUAGGAGACUGA